rnacentral:rRNA from 1 species
GAUGAACGCUGGCGACGUGCCUAAUACAUGCAAGUCGAGCGAAUGGAUUAAGAGCUUGCUCUUAUGAAGUUAGCGGCGGACGGGUGAGUAACACGUGGGUAACCUGCCCAUAAGACUGGGAUAGCUCCGGGAAACCGGGGCUAAUACCGGAUAACAUUUUGAACCGCAUGGUUCGAAAUUGAAAGGCGGCUUCGGCUGUCACUUAUGGAUGGACCCGCGUCGCAUUAGCUAGUUGGUGAGGUAACGGCUCACCAAGGCAACGAUGCGUAGCCGACCUGAGAGGGUGAUCGGCCACACUGGGACUGAGACACGGCCCAGACUCCUACGGGAGGCAGCAGUAGGGAAUCUUCCGCAAUGGACGAAAGUCUGACGGAGCAACGCCGCGUGAGUGAUGAAGGCUUUCGGGUCGUAAAACUCUGUUGUUAGGGAAGAACAAGUGCUAGUUGAAUAAGCUGACACCUUGACGGUACCUAACCAGAAAGCCACGGCUAACUACGUGCCAGCCGCCGCAGUAA